rnacentral:rRNA from 1 species
UACGUAGGGCGCAAGCGUUGUCCGGAAUUAUUGGCGUAAAGAGCUCGUAGGCGGUUUGUCGCGUCUGCUGUGAAAACCUAAGGCUCAACCUUGGGCUUGCAGUGGGUACGGGCAGACUAGAGUGCGGUAGGGGUGACUGGAAUUCCUGGUGAUAGCGGUGAAAUGCGCAGAUAUCAGGAGGAACACCGGUGGCGAAGGCGGGUCUCUGGGCCGAUACUGACGCUGGAGGAGCGAAAGCGUGGGAGCAACAG